AACUGGUAAACACCUGCCAAACUGGCAGCAGCAUUGGCGUCAAUGCUUCGAUUUGAUUGGAUGACCUACAUUGUCGAUUCAAUUAAAG